rnacentral:rRNA from 1 species
GACGAACGCUGGCGGCGUGCUUAACACAUGCAAGUCGAACGGAAAGGCCCUGCUUUUGUGGGGUUCUCGAGUGGCGAACGGGUGAGUAACACGUGAGUAACCUGCCCUUGACUUUGGGAUAACUUCAGGAAACUGGGGCUAAUACCGGAUAGGAGCUCCUGCUGCAGGGUGGGGGUUGGAAAUUUUCGGCGGUUGGGGAUGGACUCGCGGCUUAUCAGCUUGUUGGUGGGGUAGUGGCUUACCAAGGCUUUGACGGGUAGCCGGCCUGAGAGGGUGACCGGCCACAUUGGGACUGAGGUACGGCCCAGACUCCUACGGGAGGCAGCAGUGGGGAAUAUUGCACAAUGGGCGGAAGCCUGAUGCAGCAACGCCGCGUGCGGGAUGACGGCCUUCGGGUUGUAAACCGCUUUCGCCUGUGACGAAGCGUGAGUGACGGUAAUGGGUAAAGAAGCACCGGCUAACUACGUG